CCCCUUGGAUCAAAUACUAUUCCACCUACCAUCACCUACCACCAUCAUCUCAAUCCUACAUCUCUCCAUCCAAUGGUUAAAAACUCAAAAGCACUAUCCCCUUGGUGCUUUUAAAAGUAUUCUAGUGGGGCGUGUUUGGCUCGCUUCUUUUUAACCCUGGAAUCGGAAUCGGAAUGGGUGAAUCCGUUUGUGUGUAUUUGGUACGCGGGAGUCCGAUUCCGAUUCCGAUUCUGAUUCCCGAGUGGAAUGGGAAUCCCCCAAUCACCUCUUUUUUUCAAUCCGGUCUAGGAGGUCGGAUUGAAAGUUGAAUCCGGACGGAAUGGAUAUUUAUUUGGAUUAAAUUUGUUUUUUCAACUUUUUUAAUUAAAAUAUGAGUUAAAAUUUAAAAAUUAAAUAUAUAAUUUUAAAUUUUAAUUUGAACUUAAAUUAAAAAUUAAAAUUUAAUUAAGUAUUUCGAAUCUAACUUAUGAAUUUGAAUUUAA
rnacentral:lncRNA from 1 species